rnacentral:rRNA from 1 species
UACGUAGGGUGCGAGCGUUAAUCGGAAUUACUGGGCGUAAAGUGUGCGCAGGCGGCGUUGCAAGUCGAGUGUGAAAUCCCCGAGCUUAACUUGGGAAUUGCGCUCGAAACUACGAUGCUCGAGUAUGGCAGAGGAAGGUGGGAUUCCACGUGUAGCGGUGAAAUGCGUAGAGAUGUGGAGGAACACCGAUGGCGAAGGCAGCCUUCUGGGCCAAUACUGACGCUCAUGCACGAAAGCGUGGGGAGCAAACAGG